GAGCGAAUCUUGAGGUGCUUGCACCUCUUGGUUAGCGGCGGACGGGUGAGUAACACGUGGGCAACCUGCCUGUAAGACUGGGAUAACUUCGGGAAACCGGAGCUAAUACCGGAUAAUCCUUUUCCUCUCAUGAGGAAAAGCUGAAAGUCGGUUUACGCUGACACUUACAGAUGGGCCCGCGGCGCAUUAGCUAGUUGGUGAGGUAACGGCUCACCAAGGCGACGAUGCGUAGCCGACCUGAGAGGGUGAUCGGCCACACUGGGACUGAGACACGGCCCAGACUCCUACGGGAGGCAGCAGUAGGGAAUCUUCCGCAAUGGACGAAAGUCUGACGGAGCAACGCCGCGUGAGCGAUGAAGGCCUUCGGGUCGUAAAGCUCUGUUGUUAGGGAAGAACAAGUAUCGGAGUAACUGCCGGUACCUUGACGGU
rnacentral:rRNA from 1 species